rnacentral:rRNA from 1 species
AGUGAACGCUUGCGGUAGGCCUAACACAUGCAAGUCGAACGGCAGCACAGAGGAGCUUGCUCCUUGGGCGGCGAGUGGUGGACGGGUGAGGAAUACAUCGGAAUCUACUCUGUCGUGGGGGAUAACGUAGGGAAACUUACGCUAAUACCGCAGACGACCUACGGGUGAAAGCAGGGGAUCUUCGGACCUUGCGCGAUUGAAUGAGCCGAUGUCGGAUUAGCUAGUUGGCGGGGUAAAGGCCCACCAAGGCGACGAUCCGUAGCUGGUCUGAGAGGAUGAUCCGCCACACUGGAACUGAGACACGGUCCAGACUCCUACGGGAGGCAGCAGGGGGGAAUAUCGGACAAUGGGCGCAAGCCUGAUCCAGCCAUACCGCGUGGGUGAAGAAGGCCUUCGGGUUGUAAAGCCCUUUUGUUGGGAAAGAAAUCCAGCUGGCUAAUACCCGGUUGGGAUGACGGUACCCAAAGAAUAAGCACCGGCUAACUUCGUGCCAGCCGCCGCCGUAA